rnacentral:misc_RNA from 1 species
GUGAAUCAUCGAAUUUUUGAACGCAAAUUGUGCUUCCUAGCAUCCCGGGAAGUAUGCCCGUUUGAGGGUCAGUAUUAACAAAAAAAUCGGUGUGUUGCUUCUUUGUGACGCUCCGGAGUUUGGGUCAUCUUAAUAUCCUUUAGGUUUUAAGAGGCUUAAAAUUGACUUUUUUUGCGCAUUUUAGAUGUACAUAAAUUCUUUUUUUUAUUCGUCUGUCUUAAUGCCAAAAUCUUAUUAGAUGCGAUCACAUCGUGUGGCUUCGUGUCCAUAAAAUUUUCAUGAUUUGACCUCAAAUCAGGUA